GGCCAUCUUGAGAUCCCGGCUUGUGGGCGCGUCCCGCGUGGGCAGCGAGCGGGGAGCCCUGUGGAGGCCGACCCGUCAGCGUUUGGCCGCCCUGCCGGGAGCGCCCCUUCACGAAGAGAAACUCAGCAUCGGGAGCGGCUCUGUGCCGCUCGUGACUCCGGAAGCCCCUGGCUCAGCCGCCACCGUCCCCCGGGGUCUCCACCCGGAGCGCCGGGGCUGGGGGCGCGCGUGAUUUGUGGCCGGCGGGAUGGAGCCCGCGCUGCCGAGGGCCCCCCAGCGCUCGUCUCUGCGCGUGGGGUCCAAGCCCUCCGCUCCACGGCGCGGUCACGUACGCUCACCUGGAUGGCGCAUCGGCUUGUUAGGCGGUAGAAGCGAUAGAACUGCGAAAUACUGAUCUUAGUAUUUUUGGAAAUGUCUCAACUUGCGCCAGUUUGGGGAAUACUGUCAGCUUUCUGUGUAGAAAGUUGAGCUGGCCAAAGGCAGAGCAUUCCAAGCUGGUUGGUUCCUGGGAUGUGCUUCGCAGGCGUCCUGUUACUGGAAGCUGCAACGCCAGAGCCGGGCGUCCUGCCUCGCUGCCAAACUGCUUUCCAGUAACCCAAGUGCCUUUUACUUUAUUUAUUCUUUUUUUUUUUUUUUUUUUUUUUUUUUUUUGUCUUUUUUUUGUCUUUUUGCUAUUUCUUUGGGCCGCUCCCGCGGCAUAUGGAGGUUCCCAGGCUAGGGGUUGAAUUGGAGCUGUAGCCGCCGGCCUAUGCCAGAGCCACAGCAACGCAGGAUCCCAGCCGUGUCUGCAACCUGCACCACAGCUCACGGCAACGCCGGAUCCUUAACCCGCUGAGCGAGGGCAGGGACCGAACUCGCAACCUUAUGGUUCCUAGUCGGAUUCGUUAACCACUGCGCCACGAGGGGAACUCCUAUUUAUUCUUUUUUUUUUUUUUUUUUUCUCGCUUUUUUUAGGGCCGCAGCCGUGGCAUAUGGAGGUUCCCAGGCUGCGGGUCACAUCAGAGCUACAGCUGCUGGCCUACACCACAGCCACAGCAACACGGGAUCCAAGCCUAGUCUGCAACCUACACCACAGGUCAGGGCAACUCCAGAUCCCCCUGAGUGAGACCAGGGAUCGAACCCAAAACCUCAUGGUUCCUAGUCGGAUUUGUUUUCGCUGGGUCCCACACCGGGAACUCCCCCAAGUGCUUUUUAAAAAAAUACCAGGCUCUUACAUACAUCGUCUGUUGCUGUGUAAAAGCAGGCCAUGAAAUUUAGCCACUUGAAACGACCAAUUUUAUUAUUUUGCAUAGUGUCCAAGGAUCAGGGAGCCCCUCUGCAGGGUAGUUGUGGCUUUGGGUUUUGUAUGAGGCUGUGGUCAAGCUGGGAACCAUGGACUUGGUCUUUGGACAUCUGCAGGAAUUCAAGCUCAUGCCUGCGCUGUGGGCAGGAGGCUCGGGUCCUCCCUUUGGGGAGGAGGAUUCAGUUCCCUGCUUCCUUCGGCCUCCCUCCCGAGUGAGGCCUCAGAACAAGAGUAAGCUCAAGACACAGCCUUAGUGUCCCUCACAGCGUCGUGUCAGACGUGCCGCCACUGCUGCCUCUCCUGCUGGCGACACAGACCGUGUCUGGUACAAUGUGAUGGGCGCCCACAGGGGCACCAGAACAAGGGGGCAGCCCCCACGCGAGGUAGUAAGAAUGGGGUUAAGAAGCCCAGUGGACCUGCCACCCACUUCUGCAGGUACCAGCUUGUGGCCCGUCUUGUUUGAUCUGUGCCCUCCUUUCUCCACAUGCAGCAAGUGUGAAGCAAACCCAGAGACUGUCAGCCCGAGGGCCUUCCACACCCUCUCUCGUGGCAUUUUGGCAGCUGCACUCCGCGAGCAAGUGCUCCAAGAGGCCUUCUGAGGCUCCUUGCUCCCAAGCCCAAGUUCAGCCAGGCCAGGUUCAAGGGCAGAGUUUGCCACAGAGCCCAAGCGUGAGAGCGGGUGAGAGUCUCAGGGGUGGAGACAGGUGAAGGUGUAGCCAACACACAAUUCCACAGCAGGGAAGGAGGUUACGAACCGCUCCACUCUGGCCACAGGUCUCCAGACAAGCGUGAGCAGGAAGCUGCCUUCUCUGUGACAGGGACUCACGCCGUCUGGAACAGCGGGAGCAGCUCCCAGCAGCGCAGUCAGGUCCCGUAGCAAAGGCUUUGAGGCGCUCGGCUCAGAGGUCUCUAAGGAGUCACAGUUACUCUCAGGGAGGGCGUCUACCAGUUGUUCCUUCUCUUCCAGUGGCACAUUGUCCAUCAAACUUCUCAUCUAGGAGCUCCCGUUGUGGCUCUGGGUUAAGAACCUGACACAGGCCUGGCCUGGCUCCAGGCUGUGGCCUAGGUCCCAGAUGGAGCUCUGAUACCCUGUGGCUGUGGUGUAAGCUGGCAGCUGCAGCUCCGAUUCGACCCCUAGCCUGGGAACCUCCAUAUGCUGCAGCUGCAGCCCUGGGGAAAAAAAAAAAAAUCACACCAUAACAGAGACUCACCUCUUAAUCAGAAGGGAAGCCAAGGACUGUGGCCUCUCCUCUCCUUUUAAAACACACCCCCUGCCUCCUAGCAACCUCAAGGGCCUCUUCCUGUGCAGGGCCUGGGUGCGGGGAGGCUGAGGGUGUGGCUUCUCUUUGAAAAUUAGGCUAAGGACCCAGAAGACCUGCUCCUGAGCACCAGGCAGACGCCUCACGCUCUGAUGUUGGGAACGUGGGACCAUAAGGCGAGUUUGUUUCACGUCAAGUUUUGGAGUCAUUUACAGACCCGACCAAGGAAAUUAACAAGUUCAGGAGCCAUUAACAAAUGGCUCAGUGGGUUGGGGAUCCAGCAUUCUCACUGCUGUGGUGAGGGUUCAAGCCUUGGCCUAGGCGCUUCCAUGCAGUGGGUGUGGCCAAAAAAAGAAAAUGAGUUUUUAAACAUCAUUCAAGAUCUGACCAAUAUUUUCCUUGACUGUUCUGAGUUUCACACCUGGCGUUAGUUGCAGCAGCAUCUCCGUCGACAGGAUCGGUCUCCCUGCUCUGCACAGCGUCCUGUGGAAGGACCAGGUCACUGGUCCUGAAGAGUCUCCGGGACCAGCUGGCAACACCACACCAGUGCUGACACCUGCCCUUGAUCUUUUCUGCAGGUGCGGGAGGGGCCCGCAGGAGCCGGACUCCAGGAUUGUGACGUGUUUCUGCACCAUCGCAAGGGAGGGUUGAUUCUAUUUUGAAACUUUUAUCAAAUUAGCAAAGAACCCGAGAAAUAUGAUACGGCAUGGCCACACCCCAGCGCCUGUGACUAACAAAUACUACUACGUGUUAAUUAUUUUUUGUCUUUUUAGGGCCACAUCCGUGGCAUAUGGAAGUUCCCAGGCAAGGGGUUGAACAAGAGCUACAGCUACCAGCCUACACCACAGCCACAGCCACACUGGAUCCUUAACCCCCUGAGCAAGGCCAGGGAUCGAACCUGUGUCCUCAUGGAUACUAGUUGGGUUCACUACCAAUGACCCCCAGUGGGAACUCCAAUGCAUAUUAAUAUAAAAAGGCUCUGAUGGGAAGUUCCUGUUGUGGCUCCCGUGAGCUGUGGUGUAGGUCACAGACACAGCUGCUGCUCUGUGGCUGUGGCUGUGGUGUAGGCUGGCAACUGCAGCUCCAAUUCAACCCCUAGCCUGGGAACAUCCAUAUGUUUGCUGUGAGUGCAGCCCUAACCACCCCCCAAAGUAAAAAAACCCUGUGAUGAAUGAAAACUUUUCACAUUAUUCAAGUAAAAGUAUUUAAUGACACAGAAAGGCAACCGGUUCUCUUACAGCGUCACUAAGGGAUCCUUUACACAAUCCACCCACUGAAAGUGUACAAUUCAACGAUUUCCUCGCCAAUCUGUGGACGUGCCUAAUGAUCACUCCAAUAACGUCCCCUUGAGAUGCCUGUGGUCGGUGCCCACUCCAGCCUCCCCGCCGCACCCCAGACCCUGGCAACCCCGUCCCGCUUUCCGCAUCUGUACAUCCUCCUUCCUGGACGUUCGUUUUGCGUCCGUGGACUCACACCACCUAGAGGAUCUUGCAUCUGCGAGCUCACCUGACGGUCUGGGUUCCAUCUAGAGCGUCCUGGUUUUUGUGUAAGUACAGUGGCCCAUUUUGCUGUAUUCACUUGCUGGUUGAUGGACUUUGGGUUCCUUUUUGCUGUCAGAACAUCUGCACUUUGCUGGCCUGAAGGCAUGUUCCUUUGUCCUGGGUUCACUCCCGAGAGGAGUGGAAUUCCCCACUUUGCAGGCGGAUGGACCAUCUUGCAAUCCAGAGAAGGUUCUAACUGGGCACACCCUUGCCAACACUUGGCAUUGUCUUUUUGACCGAAGCUGUCCAAGUGGGUGUGACAUGCUGCCUCAAUGCUGAUUUCAUUUCCCUGAUGAAGAGUCUCUUAUGGUAGAACAUCUAUUCAAGUUUUUUGUCCAUUUUUGUUAUUAUUGUUUGGCUUUUUAGGGCCGCACCCACAGCACAUGAAGGUUCCCAGGCUAGGGGUCAAACAGGAACUACAGCUGCCAGGUUAUGCCACAGCAACGCCUGAUCCGAGCCGCAGCUGUGACCUACACCACAGCUCAUGGCAACGCCGGAUCCUCAACCCACUGAGCCAGGACAGGGAUUGAACCUGCAUCCUCAGGGAUGCUAGUUGGGUUUGCUAAACCGCUGAGCUGCUGAGCUCACAGCUUUUUAAAUGUAUACAGCUAGCUCAUUACAGAAGUGAACACAGGUUUAUGUGCAUGACUUAGUAUAUGUACUUUCCAGCUCUGUCUGGGAAGGGCCCCGAAGCAGUAACAGCCCUGGAGCAAUGAGCACACCCACGGGCGAGAUCUUGGUGGCUACAUACCAGUCUCCGUGAAAGGAGCCUGGAGCCUCUGGCGGUGCCAGAGUCCCGAAAUGCUUAAAAAAGGACACAGCAGGUCAAAAGGGGACAGACAGGAGGAACCUUAACAGUCUGAGCAACAGAGUAACAGUUACCUGGUUAUGACUCAUAGAAUCAAACACCCACAAAUCCACACUGAUAUAAAUAACUGAAUAAAUGGUGGACAAAGAACUGCUCUUUUUUACAAAAGAACUCCAGUUAAUGAAAUGAAAAGACAAUCUACGGAAUAGGAGAAAAUAGUUUCAAAUGAUGCAACCGAGAAGGGCUUGAUCUCCAGAAUAUACAAAUAACUCAUACAACUUGACACCAAAAGAUAAAUGAAUAAAUAACCCAAAUGAAAAAUGGGCAGAAGACCUAAAAAGACAUUUCUCCAAGGAAGACAUAUUAGCUGGCCAACAGGCCCAAGAAAAAAUGCUCAACAUCACUAAUUAUUACAGAAACACAAAUCAAAACUACAAUGAGGUAACACUUUACACUGGUCAGAAUGGCCGUCAUUAGUAAGUCUAUAAAUACCAAAUGCUGGAGGCGGGGUGGAGAAAGGGUGUCCUCCUAUGGUCCAACCACUAUGAAACAGCAUGGAGAUUCCGCAGAAAACUACACAACUACCAUACGAUCCAGCAAUCCCACUCCUGGGCACAUAUGCAGAAGAACCUUUCAUUCAAAAAGAUACAUGGAAAAGAAAAAACAGAAAAGAUACACGUACCCCUGUGCUCACUGCAGCCAAACAUGGAAACAAGCUGAACAUCUACCCAGACCAGUGGGUUAAGAUGUGGUCCAUACACACAAUGGACUGCGACUCAGCCGUUGAAAGGAAAGAAAGAACGGCAUUUGCAGCAACACGGAUGGACCUAGAAAUUAUUGUGCUAAGCGAGGUCAGUCACCAACAUCGAAUGCUUUCACUUCCAUGUGGGAUCUAAAACAGGACACACUGAACUUCUUUGCACAACAGACACUGAUGCAGACUCUGAAAGACUGAUGCUUUCCAAAGGAGACAGGUUGGGGGUGGGGGGCACACUGGGGG
rnacentral:lncRNA from 1 species